rnacentral:rRNA from 1 species
UACAGAGGUCUCAAGCGUUGUUCGGAUUCAUUGGGCGUAAAGGGUGCGUAGGUGGCAUGGUAAGUCGGAUGUGAAAUCCCGGGGCUCAACCCCGGAACUGCAUUCGAUUCUGCUGCGCUAGAGUACUGGAGAGGGGAUUGGAAUUUACGGUGUAGCAGUGAAAUGCGUAGAUAUCGUAAGGAAGACCAGUGGCGAAGGCGGAUCUCUGGACAGUUACUGACACUGAGGCACGAAGGCCAGGGGAGCAAACGGG